rnacentral:rRNA from 1 species
UAGGUAACUUACCCUGAAUACAUAGGGGUAAAGUGGCGAACGCGGGGAACUGAAACAUCUAAGUACCCGUAGGAAAGGACAUCAACCGAGACUCCGGAAGUAGUGGCGAGCGAACCCGGACCAGGCCAGUGGCGAUUGAGAGACAAGCGGAACCUUCUGGAAAGUAGGGCCAUAGUGGGUGACAGCCCCGUACGCGUAAUGCAAUCAAUCGUCCUUGAGUAAGGCGGGACACGUGAAAUCCUGUCUGAAAUUGGGAGGACCACCUUCCAAGCCUAAGUACUCGUGCAUGACCGAUAGCGAACUAGUACCGUGAGGGAAAGGUGAAAAGCACCCCGACAAGGGGAGUGAAAGAGUACCUGAAACCGAUUGCCUACAAACAGUGGGAGCCCGCAAGGGUGACCACGUACCUUUUGUAUAAUGGGUCAGCGACUUAGUGUGACGAGCAAGCUUAAACCGAUAGGUGUAGGCGCAGCGAAAGCGAGUCUGAACAGGGCGUUCAGUUCGUCGCAUUAGACCCGAAACCGAGUGAUCUAGCCAUGAGCAGGUUGAAGGUAAGGUAACACUUACUGGAGGACCGAACCCAUAACUGUUGCAAUAGUUCGGGAUGACUUGUGGCUAGGGGUGAAAGGCCAAUCAAACU